rnacentral:rRNA from 1 species
GACGAACGCUGGCGGCGUGCCUAAUACAUGCAAGUCGAACGCAGUGGGGACGGGUGAUUCACACGUGGGUAACCUCCCAUCAGAGGGGAUAACACUUGGAAAAUGGUGCUAAACCGAUACUGAUGGAUGUACCCGCGGUGCAUUAGCUAGUUGGAGGGGGAACGGCUCACCAAGGCUACGAUGCAUAGCCGACCUGAGAUGGUGAUCGGCCACACUGGGACUGAGACACGGCCCAGACUCCUACGGGAGGCAGCAGUAGGGAAUAUUGGGCAAUGGGCGAAAGUCUGACGGAGCAACGCCGCGUGAGUGAAGAAGGUUUUCGGAUCGUAAAACUCUGUUGUUAGAGAAGCGGUAUCUAACCAGAAAGCCCCGGCUAACUACGUGCCAGCAGCCGCGGUAAUUC